rnacentral:rRNA from 1 species
GAUGAACGCUGGCGGUAUGCUUAACGCAUGCAAGUCGAACGGACUCUUCGGAGUUAGUGGCGGACGGGUGAGUAACGCGUGAGAAUCUGGCUUUGGGUUCGGGACAACCACUGGAAACGGUGGCUAAUACCGGAUGUGCCGAGAGGUAAAAGAGAAAUUGCCUGAAGAUGAGCUCGCGUCUGAUUAGCUAGUUGGUGAGGUAAAGGCUCACCAAGGCAGCGAUCAGUAGCUGGUCUGAGAGGAUGACCAGCCACACUGGGACUGAGACACGGCCCAGACUCCUACGGGAGGCGGCAGUGGGGAAUUUUCCGCAAUGGGCGAAAGCCUGACGGAGCAAUACCGCGUGAGGGAAGAAGGCUCUUGGGUUGUAAACCUCUUUUCUUAGGGAAGAACAAAAUGACGGUACCUAAGGAAUCAGCAUCGGCUAACUCCGUG